ACUUAUUUGCCAUAAUUAAAGAAGGACUUUGCUGCUUUGGGCAAGGCUCUGAACUUAGGUGUAAAGCAUUGCCCUGGAAGAGGGAACCUACCCAGUCCAUUGCUGCCUGCAACAAGAUAUGAACAGUAAUGGCACAUAUUUUGGUUAUGCGUCACUCAGUGGACUGUGGAUUGAAUGAACUGUAUCCAUCCCCAUCAUGAUGUACAGAACCAAGUCUCUUCACUAGUAGGUAUUUUUUUAAUUAAUAUCAUGUACACAGUUAUAUGUUGAGAUUUUCAACAGAGUACCUACUUUUAUAAUGAAAAAUGUGUAAAACACAUGUAUUUGUGUCGCUGGUAUGAAAUAUGGCUAGAUCUAGUCUAUUUCUGUAUCAACCAAUUGUAAAAUGAAGAGGCAUGCUGAGCUGUGUCUAUUAGGUAUAAGUAUAUAAAUGUAAUUAUGUAUACCUAUAUAGGCAGAAUUUAGAAGUAUAGAAUCUUCCCUCUUUUUUAACUGAAUUAAGAAACGUCACUGGACAGUUUCGAUGUCUUCUGGUUAAUAUCAUAUAGAUCUGGUGCCAAUGUAAACUUAAACUUUUUACCAAGUUUAUACUUUGAAACAGUUUAAUUUUAUUAUACAGGGUAUUUGAUGUGCUUCCACUUACAGAUGCACCAUAUUAACAGUUGGUGUAUGAUAUUUACGGCGUUAUGGAAAGAAAGUUAAACUCAGUCAGAAGAUGUUAAUUUUAUUUCAGCUCCAGCAUUUAUCCUCAUACUAGUCCCCUAAUCUCUAGGCCUCAGUUUCUUCAUUUGAAAAAUGAAAGGAAUCAUUUCUGCUUUACCUAGUUCAUAAGAUUUCCUUUGAAGGUCAACAGAGGUAACGGAUGUGAAAUUAUUAGCUAACUCUCAAACUCCGUAAAAAUAAAUAGUGUUGUCUGUGGUCAACUAACAUCACAAGUAGGGAGCUGGAAAAAGUUGUGACCAUAGUUGUCUCUUCAAAUUAAUUAAUGCAGUCUACUAUUUUAUAUGUUACUUACCUAAGAGAUAAAUGAUAAAAUCAUAAUUAAUUUUAAUUUAUGACCCAAAUUAAUUUUGUAUAUUUGAG
rnacentral:sRNA from 1 species